UACGGAGGGGGCGAGCGUUGUUCGGAAUCACUGGGCGUAAAGAGUGCGUAGGCGGUUAUACAAGUCAGAAGUGAAAUCCCAGGGCUUAACCCUGGAAUUGCUUUUGAGACUGUAUGACUAGAGAUCUAGAGAGGUUGGGGGAAUUCCGAGUGUAGAGGUGAAAUUCGCAGAUAUUCGGAGGAACACCAGUGGCGUAGGCGCCCAACUGGCUAGAUACUGACGCUGAGGCACGAAAGCGUGGGGAGCAAACAGG
rnacentral:rRNA from 1 species